GUGCUCGCCCCAGCAGCACAUAUAUUAAAGUUGGAAUGAUACAGAGAAGACUGGCCUUUUCCCUGUACAAGGAUGACACACAAAUCUGUGAAGCAUUCUAUAUUUUU